AAGUUCUGCCAGUGAAACACGAUUGACAUGUAGAGGACAGGCAGUUUAAAACCCUUCCUCCUACAAAUACUCAGGAAAUUUGAUGGAUCUGAUGAUAGGUGAGGAAGACUUGCUCAGGACACAGAGCAUGAAAAGUAACCAGAGAGGUGGUACCUUUCUACCAGACUGACUGCCCAACAAGUCAGAAACCUGUCUAGUUGUCCCACCAUCAGCUUUGUUCCCCUUCAGUCAGACCAGGACGUCCCUGGUAGCACAGUGGAUAAGAAUCUACCUGUCAACGCAGGGGACACAUGUUUGGUCCCUGGUCUGGGAAGAUCCCACAUACCACGGAGCAACUAAGCUUGUGUGCCACAACUACUGAAGCCCAUGCACCUAGAGCCUGUGCUCUGAAACAAGAGCAGCCAAUCAGUGAGAAACACAUGCACCACGCCUAGACAGCAGCCCCAGCUGUCUGCAACUGGAGAAAGCCAGCACACAGC
ensembl:lncRNA